GACGUAGGGCGCGAGCGUUGUCCGGAUUUAUUGGGCGUAAAGAGCUCGUAGGCGGCUUGUUGCGUCAGCUGUGAAAACCCGCAGCUCAACUGUGGGCUUGCAGCCGAUACGGGCAGGCUAGAGUUCGGUAGGGGAGACUGGAAUUCCUGGUGUAGCGGUGAAAUGCGCAGAUAUCAGGAAGAACACCGAUGGCGAAGGCAGCUCUCUGGGACGGUACUGACGCUGAGACGCGAAAGCGUGGGGAGCGAACAGG
rnacentral:rRNA from 1 species